rnacentral:rRNA from 1 species
AGAGUUUGAUCCUGGCUCAGGGUUAACGCUGGCGGCGUGCCUAACACAUGCAAGUCGAACGGUUCUAAGCGCGAGCUUAGGAUAGUGGCGAACGGGUGAGUAAAAGGUAGGAAUCUACCCCUUGGACGGAGAUAGCUACUGGAAACGGUAGGUAAACUUCGAUAAGCCCGAGAGGGGAAAGUGGUGAGACAGCCGAGGGAUGAGCCUACUCUCCAUCAGGUAGUUGGUGAGAUAAAAGCUUACCAAGCCGAUGACGGAUAACCGGUGUGAGAACAUGAACGGUCACAAGGGCACUGAGAGACGGGCCCUACUCCUACGGGAGGCAGCAAUGGGGAAUCUUGGACAAUGGGCGAAAGCCUGAUCCAGCGACGCCGCGUGGAGGAAGAAGUCCUUCGGGAUGUAAACUUCUGAACUAGCCGAAUAAAAGGCCUGUGGACACACAGGAGAAGAAAGUAGGCUAGGAAAAGUCCCGGCUAACUACGUGCCAGCAGCCGCGGUAAU